AUGCGCGUCACGACGCACGCACACACUCACGUCCCAUAGGUGGUAUAUAAGGUUAUGCACUCUUAAUAAAUGAGCUCUUAAUACGCAGUCAGUCUACUUAUUUAAUCGUCCCAACGCCCAACGUUACAUGGCGACCCUGCCAGUGCUGCUCACGCAGCGCUGCGCAGAUGGUUUAGGAAAAUAAAGUACUCGUGUUAAAUUAUAAUAUAAUGUGAAACUUAUAGUGUAAAAUGAAGUGAACUAUCAGAAAUGGACUAAGUAGUUAAAUCAGGACUUAAAACAAAUCUUCAAUAAAAAUAACGAACUACAAAUAUGUACGCAAAAUAGUAAUAUCAAGUGCCAAAAAUCAAGAAAUUCCUGAUGAAGACGUUAGAAGACAACGGACCGAGGUGAUGAAGAACUGAAUGAGCUGGGCGCCGGGCGAUGAUGGAGUCAGAUGAGGUAACAACAGUGUGCUGGGAGCCGGGCGAUGAUGGAGCCAGAUGAUGAGGUUGACAGCAGUUAGCAGGGUGCCGGGAGUGUUCGAGUCGGAAGUGGUCGCAGCCGGGAGAACCCUACAUCAUGAUAAGUCCCCGUGCAGAAGUCCCCAUAUGCCCCAUGAAGAAAAGUCCUCUUGUCCUCUUAAAAAUUAGGUCGUCGUUCUACGGUAAAAUUUUUUUUUUUCAUUAAUUAUGAUUAUCAUUUAAAUUUUGGAGAUUAAUUUAAUUUUUGAAGUGUUAAUUUAUUGGUUUAAUUUGAGAUAUAUUUUUUUAAUAAUUUCGUAACUUUGUAAAGAUUUAUUAUUAUUUUGUGAGAAUAUUUUAUGGAUAUAUUGAAUGUAUGUACUAAUUUACUUAAACUUAAUUUACAAAACUGCAAUUUUAUAUACUUAAAGGAAUAAAUAUAGAAUUCGAUAUUUUUAUUGAAGAUGUAAAAUGUUUAUUACUAGGUAAUUUGAAUAUUUUUGUUGUGUAAUUGUUUUACAUUUUAUAAUAACGUUUGUUGACGACUUAGUAAAUUUACUGAUAACAUAAUAAUAUUGAACAAUAUAGUAAUACUGGAUAGUAAGAAAGAAUAAUAAUUUGCAUAAAAAAAACGGGGGAGGUGUAGUAUGCGCGUCACGACGCACGCACACACUCACGUCCCAUAGGUGGUAUAUAAGGUUAUGCACUCUUAAUAAAUGAGCUCUUAAUACGCA